GAUGAACGCUGGCGGCGUGCCUAAUACAUGUAAGUCGAGCGAACAGACGAGGAGCUUGCUCCUCUGACGUUAGCGGCGGACGGGUGAGUAACACGUGGAUAACCUACCUAUAAGACUGGGAUAACUUCGGGAAACCGGAGCUAAUACAGGAUAAUAUAUUGAACCGCAUGGUUCAAUAGUGAAAGACGGUUUUGCUGUCACUUAUAGAUUGAUCCGCGCCGCAUUAGCUAGUUGGUAAGGUAACGGCUUACCAAGGCAACGAUGCGUAGCCGACCUGAGAGGGUGAUCGGCCACACUGGAACUGAGACACGGUCCAGACUCCUACGGGAGGCAGCAGUAGGGAAUCUUCCGCAAUGGGCGAAAGCCUGACGGAGCAACGUCGCGUGAGUGAUGAAGGUCUGCGGAUCGGAAAACUCUGUUAUUAGUGAAGAACAAAUGUGUAAGUAACUAUGCACGUCUUGACGGUACCUAAGCAGAAAGCCACGGCUAACUACGUG
rnacentral:rRNA from 1 species